CGGCAAUAACGAAUGAAAUGGUGGUGCAGGAUUUUCGUCAUCCACACCAAUUUAGGAAAUCUUUGAAGAGUCUGCCCACUACUGACGUUAAAAGGAAGCUGGAGAAGUUGCAUGGCGGCAAACACUGUGUUUAGCCACGGAAUCACGCUCAUUUGAAUUGAUUUUCAUAUCAUGGAGGACGAUUUCCCCAUCAUCAUCCAGUGAGACAGAUGCCCAAACACACACACUAAUCUGAGCCUUGAUGUCUGACCAACAGCAAACGACCCACAGCUACAUGUUCCAGUGACUAUUGGUCUGAAGGUGUGGAUCUCGCACAAGGCUGCAGGUCAGCAUUGGGGUACUUCUCCGUCUCAGCUUUGACCAGGUCAAAGGGGAACGGCGACAGCUAGCGGGAGAAGACCCAGAGGUCAACGACAUCACCCAUCAACCAAUCCAGCAGGACGCUGCUAUAUGUGGUGCUAGUACUGUUAGUAUGAUUACACUUAAGAGGACCUUAACAUGCAAAAAUACACAAAUACACUCAA